rnacentral:rRNA from 1 species
GAGCUAAUACAUGCGAAAAAACCCGACUUCUCGGAAGGGUUGUAUUUAUUAGAUAAAGAACCAAUAUUUUUGGUGACUCAUAAUAACUUUACGGAUCACAUUAUGUGACAUAUCAUUCAAGUUUCUGACCUAUCAGCUUUAGACGGUAGGGUAUUGGCCUACCGUGGCUAUGACGGGUAACGGGGAAUUAGGGUUCGAUUCCGGAGAGGGAGCCUGAGAAACGGCUACCACAUCUAAGGAAGGCAGCAGGCGCGCAAAUUACCCAAUCCUAAUACAGGGAGGUAGUGACAAGAAAUAACAAUACAGAACCUUACGGUUUUGUAAUUGGAAUGAGUUAAGUAUAAACCCCUUAACAAGUAUCAAUUGGAGGGCAAGUCUGGUGCCAGCAGCCGCGGUAAUUCCAGCUCCAAUAGCGUAUAUUAAAGUUGUUGCAGUUAAAAAGCUCGUAGUUAAUCUUCUGUUAAUUUUUAUAUAUAAUAUCACGAUAUUUAUAUAAUAUUAACAUAAUUCAUAUUACUUUUUAGUAUA